rnacentral:rRNA from 1 species
AGUGGCGAACGGGUGAGUAACACGUGGGGCGAACCUAGCCCAAAAGAGGGGGGAUAACACUUGGAAACAGGUGCUAAUACCGCAUAACCAUAGUUACCGCAUGGUAACUAUGUAAAAGGUGGCUAUACUACCGCUUUUGGAUGGGCCCGCGGCGCAUUAGCUAGUUGGUAGGGUAAAGGCUUACCAAGGCAAUGAUGCGUAGCCGAAUUGAGAGGUUGAUCGGCCACAUUGGGACUGAGACACGGCCCAAACUCCUACGGGAGGCAGCAG